AAACUGUUGUGCCUGGCACCUACUACCAUACUCCGUUCAAAGGCACUUCAAUCUUUUGUCUUGCCCCCUCACCCUCUGAAUGGCACACAUACACAAUCCAUGUCUCAAUUGUCUCAACACUAAUACAUCCGUCUUUAACCUGUCGCCUCCCCUUCAUCUACACUGAUUGAAGUGGAUUUAACAGGUGACAUCAAUAAGGGAACAUAGCAUUCACCUGAUCAGUCUAUAUCACUGACAGAGCAAGUGUUCCUAAUGUUUUGAUGUAUUUGAUAGAUUAUAUUACAUUGAAUAUCUGCAGAUUUCAAGUAUUGUAAGACGUAUCUUUUUUUUUUCAACCUCGCAAUUAGCUGUUGAAAAUUCUGAUAUCUUCCCCUUCCCACCCUUGCACCAAUUUCAAAUGAAGAGUAGAAUGGUAAUGGUGAUUUUAAGUAGGGAGGCUGUUUUGCUCUGGAGCACUAAGUCUUGGUGGUCUACAUACAGCACAACAGAAAACGACAGAAAACAAUAGAAAAGCUUCAAAUCAUAUGAUUAUGUUCAAGUGGAAUGGGACUUCAAUAGAAUAAAAGGUAAAAAUGGGACUUCAAUAGAGUAAAAGGUAAAAAUGGGACUUCAAUAGAGUAAAAGGUAAAAAUGGGACUUCAAUAGAGUAAAAGGUAAAAAUGCAAGUCAUUAUUUAUUUUGGACAAGCGCAUGAGUGUCAAUUUUUUUUUUUUUAAACACGUUUUUAGUAUGCACUUUUAAUGACUCAAUUCUAAAAAUUUUUUUCUUCAUGUUUUUUAAGGAUUCAUUACUUCAAAGGGAGAAAGAAAUGUUUGUAUAUGCCAUUGGUUUAGCAAUGCAACAACAAGAUGUCAUGUAAUAAAAAAUCAUUGUUCAUUUUA